CCUACGGGGGGCAGCAGUGAGGAAUAUUGGUCAAUGGACGGAAGUCUGAACCAGCCAUGCCGCGUGCAGGAAGACGGCUCUAUGAGUUGUAAACUGCUUUUGUACAAGGGUAAACCUGAAUACGUGUAUUCAGCUGAAAGUACUGUACGAAUAAGGAUCGGCUAACUCCGUGCCAGCAGCCGCGGUAAUACGGAGGAUCCAAGCGUUAUCCGGAUUUAUUGGGUUUAAAGGGUGCGUAGGCGGAUUGAUAAGUUAGAGGUGAAAUGUCCGAGCUUAACUCGGGAACUGCCUCUAAUACUGUUGAGCUAGAGAGUAGAUGCGGUAGGCGGAAUGUAUGGUGUAGCGGUGAAAUGCUUAGAGAUCAUACAGAACACCGAUUGCGAAGGCAGCUUACCAAUCUAUAUCUGACGUUGAGGCACGAAAGUGCGGGGAUCGAACAGGAUUAGAUACCCGUGUAGUC
rnacentral:rRNA from 1 species